AAGCUGAACCAAGAUGCUCUGUAAUGUCAGAUAGUACUAGCAUAGCAGGUCUAUUGCCCGAUGAACGGAGUUACAGCGAGGUUCAGAACAUUUAUUUCUUAUUACAGGGGACAAACAUAACGAAAGUGGCAUCAGUUCCCUUAACGAUUACAACAAUUUUCUCUUGUUCUAAUCAGUACAUCUACGGUCAGACAAACAGAUACUGCAUAAGAUUGCCUCUGGUCGUCUCAUGUGCCGUUCGCCUAAAACCAUGAGUCAGUUCAUGGGGAUUUUACGCGAUCACUGAUGUCUCGAUUCCGACUUUGCUCGAGUUCCUGACGUCCUCAUCCUUCACAGCCUCCACCCACAGUUCUGGAAACGCUUCCUUCAUGUUGUGAAGGCUCUCCAAGGCAUGGUCAGCGCCUUUAAUCCUUUCAGAACUUCCAACCUGGUCCACAACACAUUCACAUUAGCAAACUCUGAUCAUCAACCAAAGUCGCAUGCACAAUGUAACUGGGCGUGAGAUUUUACGGACCAGGACAGUGUGCAUUCCGAUCUGCUUCCCAGCUUGGAUGUUCCUGACGCUGUCAUCGAAAAAUAUCUGGUACGUGUUCCGUAGCCAGUUAGCACACCACACAACAUGAGGUACCUAUGAAUCUCUGAAUAUGACACCAUUGAGUUAUUUGGUGCUUACAGUAGUCUGAGGAUUGAUGUCGGCAAGCUUGAGGGCAUGCAGCAUUGCAUCUAUAUUCGGUUUGCACAGGAUUGGCGACCUUGGAAGUUCAACCCCAGGCUCUGGAUUAGCCAGGUGUUUCAUUAUAUCGAAGAUCUCAACUUUGUUGGAUGGCACAGGGGUGGCCGAUGUUGGGUCUCAAAGCACAGAACCCCCUCAAAGCAGCCCUCGAUCCCAAGCCUCUUCAUGGCCCUUGAAGCAUGGAGCCUGUCACCAUUCGUGAACACCUAGUAGCAGAGCAGUUACAGCAUUAUGGUUAACAUUUCAAUAUUUCGGAGCUUCGAUGUAAAGUUUCAAGCUUGCGGUACGUCUGAGUUUGCGGAUGGGUAAGCUCAGGAGGAUAUUCCUGAGCACCGGGUCAGGCUUGAGCUUUUCAUAAGCCACCCGUCCAUGAACAAACCUACAGAACAAAUUCAACAAUCAAGAAUCUGGCAUUCCAUUCUUGUUGCCCAAAUAACAGGGCAAAACAAACACUGAAACAACAAGUUUGGAGAGAAGCCGGCAGGCAGUACCCGUGGAAAUCAUCGUAGUCGAAUUAGUACCCGACAACCUACAUCAAAGGUUCAGAGGAACACUGUAAGAAGAGUAGAAACGAAUGAAAGAACGGGUCUAAAAUAUAUAUCGCGGAGUGUGGAUUGAAACGACAUGACACACACCCGCAACCCAGCCAUGGUGGUUCCGUACUGCUUGUAGAGAAGGAUGCAGAGGUCGAGGCUGACGCUCUUGUCGAUGCCGAGCUCGACCAUGUAUUCUGAACCACCAGACAAGCCAAUUAGUCAGGCAGCAGCAAGAGCUGAUCAACACCAUACCAUGCACACAUACAGAGAGCAAGCAUGCAUCUGACAUCUCUCCUUGCAACCUGAUGUACCAGUACAUAUUUUCAGUAGAAGCAGCAGGGCAGACAGGGAGGUACGAAAUAAUGUGAGCACCAGGACUUGAACCCUGAUGGGCUGAAGAUACCAUUGUCCCUCUAACCAUCCAACAACAGCUUGAUUAAUGCAUGGCUGUGUUUUGAAACCAAGUAUAAAGCACAGAUGUGCAACUAGCGAUUUUCUAUAAUACAAGAAAAAACAAGAAACAAGCAUCACCAACUUUUUAAAGACAAGUCGCUUCUAGAAACAUGCCCAUCACUUAUGAAGACUAUCUAGGAUUAUCUAUUUACUUGCACGUGAGGCGAGGUAGACAAUCAUAAACAUUUGUAGAUCUCUCUGCAAAGAUAUUAAAGGCUAUGCAAACACAAAUAAAUACACCAACAUAUAUAAAUGGUAAAAUAGUCUACAAAGAAAGAAAAAUUAUAUCUAUGUAAAACUAUGAAUUUUGAAAUAUCUCAAACAAAAUCUUAGUUCGAAAAUAAAUUUUACAACUAAAUACAUUUCCAGCUCAUCACAAGUUUCUUAUAAUAACCGAAGUUAGAAUCAUAACAAAAAUAUUUCUAAUUAUUUUUUAAUAAUAUGGUUCUCUAGCUAAUUUUAGUAUGCAUAAUACCAUAAAUAUUUUUUUGAGACCAUAUGUCAAGAAAAACAAUUAUAGAGGAGUAAAAAGGUUUAAUAUAAACAAGUGAUAGUACUUAAUUCUAAGUAGUCAUGGUUGCCUCUACACUACUUGCACUCAUUAUCUGCCUUCUUUGCUUCAGGUCUCAUUCCACCACUUUCAUUAUUUCUAAUUAACGACAUUUUUUUAGAGUUAUUUUUGUGUAAAACAAGUAAAGCCUGAAAAAUGUCCGCGUCUCGAAAGAACUUCUAAACUGUACAAAAGAGGUGAAUAAGCAGACAAAGAACAAAUAUUUCCUCAUGGAAUGGUGGCAGGAGACUACGAAGAAAUUCUUUAAUGAGAUUAAAUCGGAAGGUUGCGUAAAGCCAAGUCUCUCGUUCCUUACUUUGAAUAAGGCUACUUCUGUUAUUCAUUUUUAGAAUGAUGUUUGAGAGUGGUAUCUGGUGAUGGAAUUACCCUAUGGUUGCACAGGCUGCCCAUGUGUACUUGCCUCAUAAGUUAUUCGAGUUCUACAAAUGAGUCAGAAAAAAAGUCUAAAUAAUAUACAUAAAAUUUUCAGUUAAAUAUGUCACCACUUCCUCCCAAAUAUUGUAAAAUAUAAUUAUAAAAAAAAUAUUUUACUUAAUAUUUUAUAUGAAUGAAAAUGCAUAUGUACCAGCACAAACGGGUUUGUAUCUUGGCCGUCCAUCGGAGCAAAGUUGCUUUGAGAUCUGUUCAAAGCUGGACCACGCGGAUUUGACUUUCUAGACUUUCUACGUUAGGGAAAUGGUAAAAAUGGUGAUGAGACCAUCGGGAUGUGACACAGAAGCGAACAUGUCCUGGUUGCACACUGGAUACCACUUGGGCCACUCACCUACACUUGUAGACUUUGUCAGACGAAGGAAACACCCACCGCGCACCAUAUUUCACAUUCUUGUAUUUUUUUCCCACCAAUCCUAUACAUGACGGAAGUGAUGUAGAUUUGUUGCAGAUUCCAUUUGAUUUUGUUUAGUUAUUUUUUGGUUCUUGGUUGCAUACUUGAUAUAGAUUGGAUAUAGGUUCCCUUCAUUUUCUUAGGAUUGUUUUGCCUAUCAAUUAUAGUAAAGAUGCAUUCUUAGAGAAAUCAGCUCAUUGAUCUUGUAAAAGAUUUUGUUACAAUUAUUGAUUUCUCAUUGUUCAUUGAAGAUAGCUCAAUUGCCCGUUCUGGACGAUCUAUCAUCUAAAUGUGCAAUCCUUACUUACCUCGACUCGUUGGUCGCAAUCACCCAUGAAUCCAAUUGUGACCUCGAGAAAUGAAAAGCGAUGAUAUCCCAUGAACGGCAAGUCAAAUGAACACAUGCAAUGUUAACAACAAGCUCUACGGUGAAGUGGCUUCCUCCUCCUGUUGGUUGGAUGAAGCUUAAUACUGACGUGUCUUGGACAGAGGAUGGAAGAGCAGGAGCCGGCAUGAUACUUCGAGAUACCCACAGUGAUAUUAUUUACUCAUCAUGCAUGGAAUUCUUCUAUUGCUGGGAUGCCCUUGAAGCAAAAAUAAGUGCAUGCAUUGAGGGUUUAUCUAUCGCUAUUCAGCAUGCGGAUCUCCCUAUUCUUAUCGAGAUGGAUUCACUAUCAGCAAUGUACAUACUGCACGACAAUGGGAUGAGAACCUGAUCAGACAUUUGUUCUACCCUCAUGAUGCAAAGGAAAUUUUAAAGCUACGGAGUCUGUCUUUGGGCGAGGAAGAUCAUAUUGCAUGGCACCAUGAGAAGAGCGGUUUGUUUUCGGUGAAGAGUGCGUAUAAGCUGACAUUGAAUCUUAAGGACUCGGAGGCUGAUUUGGAAAAUUCGUAAAUGAGAAAGGAGGUUCUGGAAUAUAACUUGGAAGGCCAAUGUCCCUAAAAAAGAAUAUUUGCUUGGCGGGCUGCAUCUAAUAGUUUGGCAGUCCAAGUUAAUAGGGUAAAAGACCAUCAAGCUACCCUAGGUACGUGCAUGAUUUGUGGUGUUGAAGAUGGGUGUAUCCUUCACGCUUUGGUGACUUGUCCCAAGGCUCAUGCGUUGUGUAUAGCUAUGAGGGAGGUGUGGAAUUUACCGGCCGAAGAGAUCUUCCAAUGUACUAGGCCGGACAGGUUUCUUAUAUUAUUUGAUCAAUUAAGUUCGUAUGUGCAGGACCAAACCAUAUUCAUGUUUUGAAGAGCUUGGCAAUUGAGGAAUGAUUUGGUAUUUGGUAAGGGAAAGGAAUCCAUCUCAGGCUCAGUGAGGUUUGUACAAAAUUAUUGGCAUUCAUUUUCAUCUUGUCAUGCAAACAUGCAAGUGGAGGUGAGUAACAAAGGUAAGGAGGUGGUUGAUGGCGUUCAACCCACAAAUAUUGUGGACAGGAAGUUAGUUUCUUGGCAGCCUCCCUCCUUGGAGUUCUUCAAAAUUAAUGUCGAUGCAAGGUUCAUGGAGGCCAUUAGCACUGCAGUGUGGGGGUGGUUGUCAAAAACUAUUCUGGUGAAGUUGCCGUUUCCUCUUGGGAUUAUAUUGGAGCUUGCUAUAGCAUCAAGGAAGCGGAACUUCGAGCGACCCUCUUCGGCCUAUAUAUCGGUAUCAUCUUCACAAGCCCAUCAUUUUGAAAACUGGUUGUUGUUUUGUGGCUUCUGUUCUUGGAAAACAUAGCCUUGACAUGUCAUCCCUUGCUGACCUAAAGAAGGAAGCGCUGAUUGUCGCUAAGAUGCCGAGGAAUUUAAAAACCUCCAAGAUAAACAGGCAGGCUAAUAUGAUGGCCCAUGAGAUUACGAAGUUUAGUUUUACUAAUGGGUCUGAUGUUGUUCUUAUUAAUAGUGUUCCGCCCUGCGUGGCAAAUGCUGUAACGAAUGCUUGUAUGAAUUUUUUAAAUUAAAUUAAUGCAAGGGUCGGGUUUAAAAAUAAGGUGCAAUUUUCCUAAUUAAAUGUCAUGAUCAUCCACAUAAUUGCAUAAACCAAUAAUUAAACUACAGUUUCAGCCAUGCUUCGCAGUAGCGCUUUCCUUUGAGAAAAUAUAGCACAAAAUAAAAGACUAAACAACCUUAACCAUCAUAUAUAAUAUAGCUCAAAAGUAAAAGAUUAAACAAUCUUAACCAUCAUAGUUCGCACGUACUAAUUUGAGUUAGUUGACGUAAACAUAGCUCUAACAAAAGACCGACACUCUAAACAAAGACUAUUACUAUAUACAUAAUUAAGCAUAGCCAUCGUCGUCCGAUGAGACGUGCACGACUUCUCUAUCAACGAGUCGUCCGAGUUGGUCUCCGCGUCCCAAGGUUGAGUUCGUCGAUGUCAUCAAGCACUACAUCGUUAUAGUGCUUGAAGUAGUGGCGGCGCCAUAGAUCACGUUAGUACUGUUGUUCAUAAGCCUCGGUACUACUAUUGUGAAGCCUCGAACAGCUUCUCCUCCCGAGCCAUGAGCCACUCCUGCUCCUCGCAUUGAGUCUCGAAUGAGGCAGAGGUGGAGUCCUCGUUCUCCAUCUCCAGUUCAUCAAUAUCCUCGAUCGUCAUGUCGUACGCAAGAAUUUCGGCCUCGGCCUCCACCAACUCUUUGGAGUUAGGGUAGAGGCUGCAAUCAGAGGAAGCCAACAGGAACCAAGCAUAGGCAGACCAUACACUCCCAGCGGCUCUUGGUAGGAUUAAGAGUGGCUCGAGAUCAAUUCAAAGAUCAUUUCAUCAUUACAAGUUAUGAGCCCACUCUGCAACUCAGACUUUUAGCUCAUGCGCCCAAAUCAAGCUCGCUCAUUUUAUAAUGCAAGCUCAAUCAAGAUUAGGCUAGAUUACUCAAAAUCAGACUUAUUUGCACCCCUAUUGGCAAUGUCAUGCAUGCUCUGUAAAUUCAACAGUAUUAGCAUAGCAGGCCUAUUGCCCCCUGAACUGAAUUACACCGACGUCCAGGACAUUUAUUUCUUAUUACAGGCGAAAAUAAAACAUAAAGGAAAGUGACAUCACUUCCCCUUAACGAUUACAACAACUCUCUUGUUCUAAUCAGUACAUCUACUGUCAGACAAACAGAUCGUGCAUACAUAGAUUGCCUCUGAUAAUGACUCUGCUCCUCUCAUGUGCCCAUUCACCCAAGAAGACUUGAGUCAGUUCACGAGGAUUUUACGCGAUCACUGAUGUCUCGAUUCCAACUUUGCUCGAGUUCCUGACAUCCUCAUCCUUCACAGCCUCCACCCACAGUUCCGGAAAUGCUUCCUUCAUGUUGUGAAGGCUCUCCAAGGCAUGGUCAGCACCUUUAAUCCUUUCAGAAGUUCCAACCUGGUGGUACAUUGAUUCAACACACAUUCACCACAUUAGCAACU
rnacentral:lncRNA from 1 species